GUGGGGAAUAUUGGACAAUGGGCGAAAGCCUGAUCCAGCAAUGCCGCGUGAGUGAUGAAGGCCCUAGGGUUGUAAAGCUCUUUUACCCGGGAUGAUAAUGACAGUACCGGGAGAAUAAGCUCCGGCUAACUUCGUGCCAGCAGCCGCGGUAAUACGAGGGGAGCUAGCGUUGUUCGGAAUUACUGGGCGUAAAGCGCGCGUAGGCGGUUUUUUAAGUCAGAGGUGAAAGCCCGGGGCUCAACCCCGGAAUUGCCUUUGAAACUGGAAAACUAGAAUCUUGGAGAGGUCAGUGGAAUUCCGAGUGUAGAGGUGAAAUUCGUAGAUAUUCGGAAGAACACCAGUGGCGAAGGCGACUGACUGGACAAGUAUUGACGCUGAGGUGCGAAAGCGUGGGGAGCAAACAGGAUUAGAUACCCGAGUAGUCC
rnacentral:rRNA from 1 species